AUGUCUAUCCAUCACCACCCCAUCACCCUGUAUAUAAGUCUCCACCACCACCUAAGAAGCCCUACCACCCUUCACCAACCCCAUAUCAUCCUGUACCCGUUUAUAAAUCUCCACCCCCACCAACUCCAGUUUACAAGUCGCCACCACCACCCAAGAAGCCACAAUAUCCUCCACACAUCCCGGUUUAUAAGUCGCCACCACCACCAACUCCCGUUUACAAGUCACCACCACCACCCAAGAAGCCACACUACCCUCCACACAUCCCUGUUUAUAAGUCACCACCACCGCCCAAGAAGCCAUACUAUCCUCCACAUACUCCAGUUUACAAGUCGCCACCACCACCAACUCCGGUUUACAAGUCACCACCGCCACCCAAGAAACCAUACUAUCCUCCACACAUCCCUGUUUACAAAUCUCCACCACCACCUACUCCAGUUUACAAGUCGCCACCACCACCCAAGAAGCCAUACUACCCUCCACACACCCCGGUUUAUAAGUCUCCACCACCACCAACUCCUGUUUACAAGUCACCACCACCACCCAAGAAGCCAUACUAUCCUCCACACACACCAGUUUACAAGUCGCCACCACCACCUACUCCCGUUUACAAGUCACCACCACCACCAACACCCGUUUACAAGUCACCACCACCACCUAAGAAGCCACACCAUCCUUCACCAACCCCAUAUCAUCCUGCACCAGUUUACAAGUCCCCACCACCACCUAAGAAGCCAGACCACCCUUCACCAACACCGUAUCAUCCUGCACCAGUUUACAAAUCCCCACCGCCACCUACUCCAGUUUACAAGUCACCACCACCUUCAGUGAAGCCAUACCAUCCUUCACCAACACCAUAUCAUCCUGCACCAGUUUAUAAGCCUCCACCACCACCAACUCCUGUCUACAAGUCAC
rnacentral:lncRNA from 1 species